GGAAUGUAGCUUAGUGGUAAAACAGUUGCCUAGCAUGUACAAGGCCCUGGGUUCGAUCCCCAGCACCA
rnacentral:tRNA from 1 species